rnacentral:rRNA from 1 species
UACGGGGGGGGCAAGCGUUGUUCGGAAUCACUGGGCGUAAAGGGUGCGUAGGCGGUCCGUUAAGUCUGAUGUGAAAGCCCUGGGCUCAACUCAGGAACUGCAUUGGAAACUGACGGACUGGAGUACCGGAGAGGGAAGCGGAAUUCCUGGUGUAGCGGUGAAAUGCGUAGAUACCAGGAGGAACACCGGUGGCGAAAGCGGUUUCCUGGCCGAGUACUGACGCUGAGGCACGAAAGCGUGGGGAGCGAACGGG